CUCGAGGAGAGGUGCUGAUGGCUCUCACUGCCUCUGUGCCCAGAGGGGCCUCCAAGCCAUGUUGGGUGCUCCAAGUUGGGACAUGGUCUCCUGCUCCCACCCACUUUGAGAACUCUGGCUUUAUCCUCCAGAAAGCUUCAGAAGCUGCUGUUUGAGGAGCCUGAGCCCCAAACUGAGUCCUUUGGAAAAUACAAAGUGAAUUUACAAAGGUAAACACAGGGAGCUAAGCACCCCCUUAGUAGGAUUCAGCAAGAGGAAGAUCUAGAGUUUGGUGAAAGAGGGUCAAGAGUCAAACAAUCUAGGUGAGUGUCUUUUCACCAGGCCUUCCUCCUCAGAACCCCUUGGCCGUGUGUUUAAGGUCUAGGUUCAUCAGGCCCACUGAAGGGGAGCACAUUAGGAGGUCUGGAGAGGCCGCCCCACUGAAGGGGAGCACAUAAGGAGGUCUAGAGAGGCCACCCCACUGAAGGGGAGCACAUUAGGAGGUCUGAAGAGGAGUACAUUAGGAGGUCUGGAGAGACCACACUUGACUCCACUUCUUGGGUUGCUCUGAGCAUCGUGAGCCAUGAAAACCACUGACCAGAUAGAGCCUGGUCUUGUGUCCACCAUAGGACUGGCAAGCUUCUGGGGACCUUGGUUUUCUAUAUAAAUGGAUUGCAGAAUUUCUUUUACUUUUGGAGAUUUUUUUUUUUUUUUUUUUUUUUUUUUUGAGACGGAGUCUUGCUCUGUCACCCAGGCUGGAGUGCAGUGGCGUGAUGUGGGCUCACUGCAAGAUCCGCCUCUCGGGUUCACGCCAUUCUCCUGCCUCAGCCUCCCCAGUAGCUGGGACUACAGGUGCCUGCCACCACGCCUGGCUAAUUUUUUUUUUUUUUUUGUAUUUUUAGUAGAGAUAGGGUUUCACCAUGUUAGCCAGGAUGGUCUCAAUCUCCUGACCUCGUGAUCCGCCAGCCUCAGCCUCCCAAAGUGCUGGGAUUACAGGUGUGAGCCACUGCGCCCGGCCUACUUUUGGAGAUUUUACAGUUUACAACGCACUUCAUGUAUAUGGUCUUGUUUGGUUCUCACAGCACCCUAGGAUGUGGAAAGGGACUGUCACUGUCAGGAAAGGCAGGCCAAGCCAAGGAAAGGGGGUGGGGCAGCAAGUGGGGUAGAAGAGGCAGUCAGAGGAUGUGGGCAUUUGACUGGCUGAAGGGGACUCCUAAGAGCAUGUACCCCCCACCCAACCCCACAACCAAAUCAUUCCAGCAAGAGGAAGAAAGAGUGAGAAGAUCUUAAGAGGGGUGGAACUGCACCGAGCAAGAGGGAAGGGGAAAGUCACAUUAAGGCACUGGAAGCCAAUAGGACUGAGUGGGGUGCAUGCAAGGAGAGGAGGGUGCUUGGAGGCUGGUGGAGGGGGAAAGAGCUGGGAGAGAAGACGCCCGGUAUUGGAGGGUGUCAGGACCAGGCCUGGUGGCCUUGGGAAAGCCCUAAGAAGAGCUGUUCUCGGCAGAGGCCUGGAAGGGAGUGGCUGCCCCAGGAUGGGUGUGAAGAUGUCACAGUUCCUGAAGGAGACAUCUGUCAGUCUGCAUCUGUUUCCAGCCAAGCAGAGCAGGAAAGGCUUUGGGAUGGCUGUGAGCCCAGGAUCUGAGAUGGGAAGUGAUGACGGCAUGAAUCACCGGGGAAGGAGAGAGAGGAGAAGAUGACCAAGGCAUGAUCCUUUCUUCUUCCACUCCACCCCUGCUCAUCUCCAUUUCUGUACCUCUCUCUACUCUGUCCCAGUGGCUCAGAGCCAAGGGUGGCUCCUCCCCUUACCUGGCAGGAUCCUCCUGAAGGCUGACUGCCAGUCCAC
rnacentral:lncRNA from 1 species